rnacentral:rRNA from 1 species
AGCGUACACGGUGGAUGCCCUGGCAGUCAGAGGCGAUGAAGGACGUGCUAAUCUGCGAAAAGCGCCGGUAAGGUGAUAUGAACCGUUAUAACCGGCGAUGUCCGAAUGGGGAAACCCGGUGCACUUCGGUGCAUCAUCGUUAGCUGAAUACAUAGGCUAACGAGGCGAACCGGGGGAACUGAAACAUCUAAGUACCCCGAGGAAAAGAAAUCAACCGAGAUUCCCCCAGUAGCGGCGAGCGAACGGGGAACAGCCCAGAGCCUGAAUCAGCUUGUGUGUCAGUGGAACGGUCUGGAAAGGCCGGCGAUACAGGGUGACAGCCCCGUACACGAAGGCACACAGGCUGUGAGCUCGAUGAGUAGGGCGGGACACGUGAUAUCCUGUCUGAAGAUGGGGGGACCAUCCUCCAAGGCUAAAUACUCCUGACUGACCGAUAGUGAACCAGUACCGUGAGGGAAAGGCGAAAAGAACCCCGGCGAGGGGAGUGAAACAGAACCUGAAACCGUGUACGUACAAGCAGUGGGAGCCUUCGUAAGAGGGUGACUGCGUACCUUUUGUAUAAUGGGUCAGCGACUUAUAUUCUGUAGCAAGGUUAACCGUAUAGGGGAGCCGAAGGGAAACCGAGUCUUAACCGGGCGUUAAGUUGCAGGGUAUAGACCCGAAACCCGGUGAUCUAGCCAUGGGCAGGUUGAAGGUUGGGUAACACUAACUGGAGGACCGAACCGACUAAUGUUGAAAAAUUAGCGGAUGACCUGUGGCUGGGGGUGAAAGGCCAAUCAAACCGGGAGAUAGCUGGUUCUCCCCGAAAGCUAUUUAGGUAGCGCCUCGUGAACUCAUCUCCGGGGGUAGAGCACUGUUUCGGCUAGGGGGCCAUCCCGGCUUACCAACCCGAUGCAAACUGCGAAUACCGGAGAAUGUUAUCACGGGAGACACACGGCGGGUGCUAACGUCCGUCGUGAAGAGGGAAACAACCCAGACCGCCAGCUAAGGUCCCAAAGUCAUGGUUAAGUGGGAAACGAUGUGGGAAGGCCCAGACAGCCAGGAUGUUGGCUUAGAAGCAGCCAUCAUUUAAAGAAAGCGUAAUAGCUCACUGGUCGAGUCGGCCUGCGCGGAAGAUGUAACGGGGCUAAACCAUGCACCGAAGCUGCGGCAGCGACACUGUGUGUUGUUGGGUAGGGGAGCGUUCUGUAAGCCUGCGAAGGUGUGCUGUGAGGCAUGCUGGAGGUAUCAGAAGUGCGAAUGCUGACAUAAGUAACGAUAAAGCGGGUGAAAAGCCCGCUCGCCGGAAGACCAAGGGUUCCUGUCCAACGUUAAUCGGGGCAGGGUGAGUCGACCCCUAAGGCGAGGCCGAAAGGCGUAGUCGAUGGGAAACAGGUUAAUAUUCCUGUACUUGGUGUUACUGCGAAGGGGGGACGGAGAAGGCUAUGUCGGCCGGGCGACGGUUGUCCCGGUUUAAGCGUGUAGGCUGACUUUCCAGGCAAAUCCGGAGAGUUAAGGCUGAGGCGUGAUGACGAGGCACCACGGUGCUGAAGUGACAAAUGCCCUGCUUCCAGGAAAAGCCUCUAAGCAUCAGGUAACAUCAAAUCGUACCCCAAACCGACACAGGUGGUCAGGUAGAGAAUACCAAGGCGCUUGAGAGAACUCGGGUGAAGGAACUAGGCAAAAUGGUGCCGUAACUUCGGGAGAAGGCACGCUGACAUGUAGGUGAAGCCCCUGCGGGUGGAGCUGAAGUCAGUCGAAGAUACCAGCUGGCUGCAACUGUUUAUUAAAAACACAGCACUGUGCAAACACGAAAGUGGACGUAUACGGUGUGACGCCUGCCCGGUGCCGGAAGGUUAAUUGAUGGGGUUAUCGCAAGAGAAGCUCCUGAUCGAAGCCCCGGUAAACGGCGGCCGUAACUAUAACGGUCCUAAGGUAGCGAAAUUCCUUGUCGGGUAAGUUCCGACCUGCACGAAUGGCGUAAUGAUGGCCAGGCUGUCUCCACCCGAGACUCAGUGAAAUUGAACUCGCUGUGAAGAUGCAGUGUACCCGCGGCAAGACGGAAAGACCCCGUGAACCUUUACUACAGCUUGACACUGAACAUUGAGCCUUGAUGUGUAGGAUAGGUGGGAGGCUUUGAAGCGUGGACGCCAGUCUGCGUGGAGCCGACCUUGAAAUACCACCCUUUAAUGUUUGAUGUUCUAACCUGGCGCCGUGAUCCGGCGUGGGGACAGUGUCUGGUGGGUAGUUUGACUGGGGCGGUCUCCUCCCAAAGUGUAACGGAGGAGCACGAAGGUCAGCUAAUCCUGGUCGGACAUCAGGAGGUUAGUGCAAUGGCAUAAGCUGGCUUGACUGCGAGAGUGACGGCUCGAGCAGGUGCGAAAGCAGGUCAUAGUGAUCCGGUGGUUCUGUAUGGAAGGGCCAUCGCUCAACGGAUAAAAGGUACUCCGGGGAUAACAGGCUGAUACCGCCCAAGAGUUCAUAUCGACGGCGGUGUUUGGCACCUCGAUGUCGGCUCAUCACAUCCUGGGGCUGAAGUAGGUCCCAAGGGUAUGGCUGUUCGCCAUUUAAAGUGGUACGCGAGCUGGGUUUAGAACGUCGUGAGACAGUUCGGUCCCUAUCUGCCGUGGGCGCUGGAGAAUUGAGGGGGGCUGCUCCCAGUACGAGAGGACCGGAGUGGACGCAUCACUGGUGUUCGGGUUGUCAUGCCAAUGGCACUGCCCGGUAGCUAAAUGCGGAAGAGAUAAGUGCUGAAAGCAUCUAAGCACGAAACUUGCCCCGAGAUGAGUUCU